rnacentral:rRNA from 1 species
AUUGAACGCUGGCGGCAGGCCUAACACAUGCAAGUCGAGCGGAUGAAGGGAGCUUGCUCCUGGAUUCAGCGGCGGACGGGUGAGUAAUGCCUAGGAAUCUGCCUGGUAUUGGGGGAUAACGUCCGGAAACGGGCGCUAAUACCGCAUACGUCCUGAGGUAGAAAGUGGGGGAUCUUCGGACCUCACGCUAUCAGAUGAGCCUAGGUCGGAUUAGCUAGUUGGUGGGGUAAAGGCCUACCAAGGCGACGAUCCGUAACUGGUCUGAGAGGAUGAUCAGUCACACUGGAACUGAGACACGGUCCAGACUCCUACGGGAGGCAGCAGUGGGGAAUAUUGGACAAUGGGCGAAAGCCUGAUCCAGCCAUGCCGCGUGUGUGAAGAAGGUCUUCGGAUUGUAAAGCACUUUAAGUUGGGAGGAAGGGCAGUAAGUUAAUACCUUGCUGUUUUGACGUUACCAACAGAAUAAGCACCGGCUAACUUCGUG